UACAGAGGGGGCAAGCGUUGUUCGGAAUUACUGGGCGUAAAGGGCGCGUAGGCGGCCUGCUAAGUCGAACGUGAAAUCCCCGGGCUCAACCCGGGAACUGCGUCCGAUACUGACAGGCUUGAAUCCGGGAGAGGGAUGUGGAAUUCCAGGUGUAGCGGUGAAAUGCGUAGAUAUCUGGAGGAACACCGGUGGCGAAGGCGGCAUCCUGGACCGGUAUUGACGCUGAGGCGCGAAAGCUAGGGUAGCAAACGGGG
rnacentral:rRNA from 1 species